rnacentral:tRNA from 1 species
AAAACUUUAAGUUAAAAUAAACUAUUGACCUUCAAAGUCAAAAAUUCAAAAAUGAAUGUUUUG